rnacentral:rRNA from 1 species
AGUGAACGCUGGCGGUAGGCCUAACACAUGCAAGUCGAACGGCAGCACAGUAAGAGCUUGCUCUUACGGGUGGCGAGUGGCGGACGGGUGAGGAAUACAUCGGAAUCUACUUUUUCGUGGGGGAUAACGUAGGGAAACUUACGCUAAUACCGCAUGCGACCUACGGGUGAAAGCAGGGGAUCUUCGGACCUUGCGCGAUUGAAUGAGCCGAUGUCGGAUUAGCUAGUUGGCGGGGUAAAGGCCCACCAAGGCGACGAUCCGUAGCUGGUCUGAGAGGAUGAUCAGCCACACUGGAACUGAGACACGGUCCAGACUCCUACGGGAGGCAGCAGUGGGGAAUAUUGGACAAUGGGAGAAAGCCUGAUCCAGCCAUACCGCGUGGGUGAAGAAGGCCUUCGGGUUGUAAAGCCCUUUUGUUGGGAAAGAAAAGCAGCAGGUUAAUACCCCGCUGUUCUGACGGUACCCAAAGAAUAAGCACCGGCUAACUUCGUG